GGGGCCGCUGAUAAUCACCCUCACUAAGGGACAUGCUCCGUGCGGGUUUAAAGAGAAUCUCCCCUUACCGGCUGAACUUAGGCAUAUCAAUAAGCGGGAGGAAAAGAAACUAACAAGGAUUCCCCUAGUAACUGCGAGUGAAGCGGGAAAAGCUGAAAUUUAAAAUCUGGCGGUCUUUGGCCGUACGAGUUGUAAUUUAGAGAAGCGUCUUCCGCGCUGGACCGUGCACAACUCUCCUGGAAUGGAGCGUCAUAGAGGGUGAGAAUCCCGUCUUUGGCACGGAUGCCCGGUGCUUCUGUGAUGCGCUCUCGAAGAGUCGAGUUGUUUGGGAAUGCAGCUCAAAAUGGGUGGUGAACUCCAUCUAAAGCUAAAUAUUGGCGAGAGACCGAUAGCAAACAAGUACCGUGAGGGAAAGAUGAAAAGCACUUUGGAAAGAGAGUGAAACAGUACGUGAAAUUGUUGAAAGGGAAACGCUUGAAGUCAGUCGCGGCGACGGAGGCUCAGCCUCGCCUUGGCUUGGUGCACUUCUCGGCCCGACGCGUCAGCAUCAAUUUUGCCCCUCGGAUAAUGGCAACGGAAAGGUGCCACCUUUACGGGUGUGUGAUAUUCUCCUGUGGCACCCGAGGGGGGGGAUUGAGGACCUCAGUGUGCUCCUGCCUGCCGGGGCUGCGGCUCACGUCACGCGCUUAGGAUGCUGGCGUAAUGGCUUUAAAACAACCCCUCUUGGAACACGGG
rnacentral:rRNA from 1 species